rnacentral:lncRNA from 1 species
CUAUGGUCACCGAUGAGGAGUGGCUGGGUGACCGGCCUCUGUCGGGUUCCGUCAAUACCGUCUCGGGGGAAUCCCGGCGGGAGGCAACCAACGUACCAGCUGCAUCCCCCAAGCGGCAAAAAGUUGAAGAACCCAUAACCUUCACCGAAGAAGACACCCAGGGAGUCCAAUUCCCUCAUAACGAUGCGGUCGUAGUUUCCUUGAACAUAGC